AUGGGCGCACAAGGCUACGAGCUGGAGGACCUGCACACAGCCAUGGGUCGUUGUCAUGGGUGGUCGUUGGAUGAAGAUAAAUAUGACAGUGAGGACAUAGAUGUCAGUGAGAAACUGAGAAUAGCCUCUAAUCCUGGUCGGAAUCGAUCUUUUCCUGGUGCACCAAACAGGUUCGGGUCUAUCUUGACCGGGAUUGAUAAGUAUAGGGUGCCCAUUUUAGGGAUUAAGAGUUCAUGGUUUAAUUCCGACAAGGUGUAUGAGUUUAAGGUUUUUUGUAGACUUCACCCUGUUGGCCCGCAAACAGCACAAGCAUAUCGUAACUUGAACAAAUACCCUGUUGAAGAGAAAAUGGGGAGAAAUUCCGUAACAUCGUCUAACUAA
rnacentral:rRNA from 1 species